GAGAGGGAGCGGGCUCGGCGCUGGCGCUGAGGGUCGCGGCGUGGCCGGGGCGUGAGGGCAACCCCGGGCUCUGGCGUGACCGCGCGGCUGCUCCGGCAUGUGAUGGGACCGCCUGCGCCUCGGGACGGGGGUGGAUUUGCCUCUCCUAAUAGCUUUAAACAUCAGCUGCACCGUGAGAGCCCCCCCGCAACACACACACGUGCAAGGGCCGUGGAGGAGGUUGUGAGAGGCGCGAUGGUCACGGGGCUCCAGAGCAAGGUCUCUCUGAUUCUUAUAUGGACCCAGAGCCAGCCUUAAGGAAAAUGAUGCCCUGAACUCACUUGUAUCUUGAUGCCUUCCCCCAGCACUCCCCUGAAGUCAGCGGUGCUGCUGAAGGCAGGGGUGCAGGGAACAGUCCGUCAGGGAGGCAGAGCGGCAUGGUGCAUCAUGCAGGUGGACAGCUAUUCUGUAUCUCAUUUCUGAUAAACUUCCAUCUGGGUUCAGCAUCCAGUACUGCAUGGACGGGGAUCUCUUUAACAUCAACUGGUUACAUUCAAGUCCAAGAUACCAGUGCCUCCAUUACUGAUCUUCAGUAUGCUGUCAAUUGUGUCAUGUGUGCCCACUGAGUUGACCAGUUCCAGUCACUCUUAAUUACUUCUGCAAAGAAUAUAAAAUGCUAGGACUUACUGUCAGCUUCACAAAAAUCAAGCUCCUUACUGACCCACCCAAACCAACCAUCUGCUCCUCCACAUACUACAAUUAGAGGGAAACCCUUGGAGAAUGUUGAGAAUUCUCUCUGCCUAGCCACCAUUCCCAAAAAGAAAAUACAGACUAUGAUAUUCAAUGCUGGAUAAAAUAUGCCACUAAUGCCUUUAGACAUCCCUGAAACCAUGUCUUGGACGAUCGUGACAUCAGACUGGAAUCAAACUUCUCAUCUACCAGGGUCUUGUCCUACCCUAUUGUAUGGGUGUGAAAUUUGGAUGAUAUAUCAGAAGCUUUGGAAAAUUACUAUCAGCAAUCUCUGUAAAAUCCUCCAUGUUGGCUGAAAGGACAGAAGACUCAAUGCCAGCAACCACCACUAGCAUUGAAACUAUAUUUAUAUGGUAUCAGCUCUGUUGGACAGGGCGUGUCAUAAGGAUGCCUAACAAACCAUCUUCCUAAACAGGUCUUAUACUCCCAACUGACUGAAGCUCAUCACUCUAGAGGUGGGCAAAAAAGAGGUUCAAGGACAUCAUGAAGGUCAAUCUAAAGAAAUGUGAUACUAACAUCAGUACAUGGGAGAUUCAAGCACUGACUUGUCCUAAAGUAUGCCACAAUGUACAAGGCAUCAAUCAUUUCAAGAAAACUUGCCUCACAAUGGAGGCACAUAGUUGAGAGAGACAAAAGAAAGGAGCUAUUAUCCAACAUCACUAGGAUCUACUCCUUUGCAGAACUAUUUACCACAUCUGUAGUCAAACGUGCAAAUUUUGGAUUGGCCGCCUCGGUCAUCUAUGUACUCACCAAUGUCUUCCCAGUUUACUGGAAGACUGUCAUCCUCAUAUCAAAGGACUGCUGCUGCUGAUUAGUUGUUAUUAUAAAAGCUAUUUUUUUUUACAUCCAACUAUUGUUCACCUCCAUGAAUGCCGUGUGCCCCUGGAGGCUGGGGAGGGCACGGUGAUCACCCACAGGCAGCGGUGGCGAGUGGGGAGCUCCUGCAGGUGGCCACAGCAGU